UCAGGCCUAACACAUGCAAGUCGUACGAGAGUUUUUAACUCUGGUGGCGGACGGGUGAGUAACACGUGAGAAUUUGCCUUUAGGAGGGGGACAACAAUUGGAAACGAAUGCUAAUACCCCAUAUGCUUUCGAGUGAAAUGGAUUUUAUCCGCCUAGAGAGAAGCUCGCGGCUGAUUAGCUUGUUGGUAAGGUAAGAGCUUACCAAGGCGACGAUCAGUAUCUGGUUUGAGAGGACGAUCAGACACACUGGAACUGAGACACGGUCCAGACUCCUACGGGAGGCAGCAGUGGGGAAUUUUCCGCAAAGGGCGAAAGCCU
rnacentral:rRNA from 1 species